rnacentral:rRNA from 1 species
AAAAAAAUAUUUCUUAUUCGUCUUUUUUUAUCUUCCCACUCAUCUCCACUAUACCUCUCGUCUUCUAAUUCCUUCCAUUCGACCAAAGAAUUCUCUAUAAUAAUUCGCAAAUCCAAAUCUGCUAAUUGUUCUCUAGUCUCUUAUCCCUAG